GACGAACGCUGGCGGCGUGCUUAACACAUGCCAGUCGAACGGAAAGGCCCUGCUUUUGUUGGGGGCUCGAGUGGCGAACGGGUGAGUAACACGUGAGUGACCUGCCCUUUACUGGGUGUUAACGCCAGGAAACUGGGGAUAAUACCUGAGAGCAGCUCCUGCGCGAGGGGGGGGGUUGGAAAGUUCGGGCUGGUGGGGGUGGAGUCGGGGGUAAUCAGUUUGUGGGGUGGGGACUGGCUGACCAGGGGUUGGGAGGGUGGCCGGCACGGGGGGGUGACCGGCCACCUUGGGACUGCGAUACGGACCAGACUGCUACGGGAGGCAACGGUGGGAAAUAUUGCCCAAUGGGCGGAAGCCUGAUGAAGCAACGCCGCGUGCGGGAUGACGGCCUUCGGGUUGUAAACCGCUUUCGCCUGUGACGAAGCGUGAGUGACGGUAAUGGGUAAAGAAGCACCGGCUAACUACGUG
rnacentral:rRNA from 1 species